UACAGAGGUCUCAAGCGUUGUUCGGAUUCAUUGGGCGUAAAGGGUGCGUAGGUGGCGCGCUAAGUCAGGUGUGAAAUUUCGGAGCUUAACUCCGAAACUGCAUUUGAUACUGGCGUGCUUGAGGACUGGAGAGGAGACUGGAAUUCAUGGUGUAGCAGUGAAAUGCGUAGAGAUCGUGAGGAAGACCAGUGGCGAAGGCGGGUCUCUGGACAGUUCCUGACACUGAGGCACGAAGGCCAGGGGAGCAAACGGG
rnacentral:rRNA from 1 species